UAACCUGGACGAUCAUCAUUUACAAACAUAUAACGAUACUCCCGGGUUCAAACCAUUUACUUUAAGGUACUUUUCCUCAUAAAAGGAAAAAUACUCCAUCUACACAAACUAAAUCCAAGGACAAACCUAAACACAACACAAUACAUGUUCCUGACUCAACUAACAAAAAGACUUCAUCUCACAGGUGGUGAAUAUACAUACGAUUUAGAUGUUGAUGUAUAGCCAGAGUCAGGAGUAUGGAAAGGAUGGAGAAGAACCAAUACCAAGAUUUCCAAUUAAUCAGGAAGCUUGAAAAGUUAAGGGAUAGUAUGAUUUACCAAUGAAAUCGUUUGGAUUUGAUGAAAUUUUCUUAGGCGUAGUUGGAGUAGGAAGAACACCGUUGAAAAUAGGAAGCACCAUCGCUAUAAUUAUGGGUUUGAAGAUCUUCGUAAAUAAAAGAAAAAAUGUAUACAAUUCGACUCCAAAAUCUUGUAGAAAUGUAGAGGAGAGUACCAGGAACACGUAGAUACCAAAUAUAGAUAAUCCACGAUAGAUUUAAGAGCUAAAA